CAACGGGCCAUGCAAACGAGGUGUCUUAACCCUGGUUCUCGGCGCUGCAACCGCAAGCCCUUGGCAGCUCUGAGGGUUGUGAUGGGAUCUCUGAAGGCAUCAGCUGAACGUGUACCAGCGUAGCUGCUCUGCCUGAAACUCCUGGCAGCUGGAAACAAAAGCAUCGAGGAGGCUGACCCUCAGACUUCAAGCACUCCGCAGAGGUUGUCCAAGGGAGGGUCCCCAGGCUGUGCAGCUCGGAGGUAGCCUGCUGCCCUCCUCGGGCUCCCAGGCAGUCCGCCUUGCAGGUUGGAUCCCGCUCCCUUGCACAGAGCAUUUUGAGUUUCCAGGGCAGGGAAGUACUUGGUGAUAAAGAUUUUGCGGCCUGAGUGACACUGAAGUGUGAACUAUCCAAACGCAUUCUGGGAACUGCAAUGUUUUGCUUUUACCUAUCUCUAAUGAUGAUGUCAAUUCAUUUGUUUAGAUUGUGU